GUAGGCGAACUAUCGUUCACUGUGUCACGUGGAACGAGCCAGAGUAGCAAGGUGCUUUAAGGUAGAAAAUAAACGUAAAAUAAGAUACCUCCCCCUAAAGGAGGAACCUCCAAACCUUACUCUGCGGUCCCGUGUCUGGGUGGAUAAAAUUGUAAGGGUCACCACGUGCGGCCUUUUUAGGACAAUUAUGACGUAAUUUUGGUCACACAGGAGGUGCCCCUAUCUGGAAAGGCACGUGUGUGUGUGUCUGUGUGCGUUUAUUGCACUUCACCGCCAUACGCCGCACGAACGCGGGUGCGCCACCUCUACCUCGAGGACCGACGGCACGUAGGUACACACACACACAGUUAAUAUGGGGGCUGUCUGGGAAAUUUACAUUUCCGAAGGGACGCCGCCGGUAGACCAUCCGUCAAUUUAAUCACAUUCGGAGAGUUUCGGGGAUGAGUGGGGUGGUCCCGUUAUUUUUUUUUUUUGGCACUCUAAUGCUUUAUUAAAUAAUGAUGGAAGAUAGGACAGACAGACAGACAGAACCGAGCCAGACAUGCAAUAACGUGUUGCAUUGAGGGCGGAAGAAGGAAAUUCGGGGCAAAAGAGGCGUGAUUGUAAAUAUUACAGCUACAGAAAACAGGAGGAUCUAAAAUAUAAAAUUAUCGUUCGACAAGAAGGUCCUUCCAGCAUUAAUUGAUUGGUCCGUUAAAUUGUAAUGUUGCCUGGAGUUCCCGGAUGGUCUUGAAAACUGAGCAGCACACACCACGAAUGCCUGGUCACGUUCGGUUAUGUCCAAUAAAGCGGACCGGCUAGCAGAGACCUAGUGUGGCACGUGCCACGACCACAAGAGUGUCAUGUGCAGCGCACACAUCGGAAUACGUAGAAGGAGGACUCAGAGCAACAACAAAAAAAGUUCCAUUUCGGACACGUACGGGUUCCGGGGGGCAACAAUUAUCACACUGGGUAAUGACGAGGUUCGAAACAGAGAAGACAAAAACUCCCAGAUGUUAUCGAAUGCGUCGGAUGUAGCUUUCGGGAGUAGCUCGUUAGCGUUGCAACCUGGCUCGGCUCCCUGAGGAGGACACAUUUUGGUCACCGUUUUUGUUUGGCGGUAAUUAAUUCAAUGUCAGGGCACACACGUGCUUUUCGGUGCUUUUUGG